rnacentral:miRNA from 1 species
CAUAAAAAGGCCGUGCGUGAU